CUAUUAGUUUAUCAACCCUAGGCAUUGGAUAAGCAUCAGACUUAAACUUUGACACUAUUUAAUUUACGAAAAUCAUUACAAAAUCUUAAUGAGCCAUCAGGUUUUGGCACCAGUACUAUAGGGCUGUUCCACUCGCUUUGUGAUUCCUCAAUAAUAUCAAGAUCUAACAUUUUCUUAAUUUUAGCAGUUACAGCCUCUUUCUGUGCUUCUGGACUUCUGUAUGGUUUAAGACUUAUCUUCAUCCCUGGUUCUGUAACAAUAUCAUGCUUGAUAACGUUAGUCCUGCC